AGAAGAAAGGGAAAGAACUGGAACAGGUCAGCAAGUCCCAUGCUAAUGGGACUCAUGUCAAGCUGGGUCAAGUUGGGGUGUAGAUCUCUCAUUGAGAGCUAAAGCAUGGCGCUAAAAUAAGGGAAAGCAGAGACAUAGAAAACAAUCAAAUCUGAAGAAACCAGAGGAUGGAGAUGGAGGCUGUAGAACAAGGUGGGAAUGGAAGCUGGUGGAGAACAAUAAGGUCCUGCUGAGGAUCCCUGGUGCCCAGUAGGGAACACCGUGAGGAGGAGGAUUAAGAAAGGCACCCUUUCCACUGAUUUGCAUCGCCAUUUGUACAUGGAGUUUGGCUACAGCAAAAUCCGUUGCUAUCUCACCAGCUACAAGAAGCAAAGAACGAAUUGCAAUUCAUUUUUGUGCUCUAGGACCCGGUUGAGGAACCUUUGAAGGAUGCAGACCUUAAGGAAUCAGGACUUCCAGGAUCCAAUUUUCUUGUGCAUCUCAAGACAUUUAUCAGAUAAAGAAGGAGCAUUUUUUGCUGUUCAGUGAGAUUCCAGGGCACUUAGUCAAAUAGCACCAUAAAAACAAAAGGUAUUAUGUACCAUUAUUUCCAACUUACGUUCACUACACGGGCAGGAAACUCAAAGACAAGACAAACUUUCUCUGAAGAAAGAUUUUAUUCAUCACUCAAUUAAUAUGAUUUGUAUAGUCCUGUAGACCUGACAAUAAACAGUCACCAAUGCCCACAAUUCCUCCUAUCUCCUUGAAGAGCAUUGGUCAUACAAGCACCUCUCCAACCUUUUUUUUUUUCCCUAAAACCAGUUACUUACGUACACCAUUGAGACUUUCUAGGGUUCCAUUUAGAAGAGUCCUGAGAAGGAGUAAUUCAUCUCACCCACAUGGUAUGAUCUAGAUUCUUUAAACACAAGCAACAGAAAUCAACUCUAGAUUAACUGAAGCAGGAAAUAAAUCUAUUGGAAGAAUUCAGAGAAGUUCACAGAAUAGACAGGAAGGCAGGAGAGCGAGGCUUGGAAAAAUGCAAGAGCUGAGCUGCUCUAGGGAGUUAGGGAAUAGCAAACACGAUCAAGAUCGUGUGUUAAGAAGAACAUGUCUAAAACAUGUUGAGGAUGCUGCCAGUGCCACAGCCAUUAUCUCCUGCUGCUGUCACCACCAUUACUGAUGUGCCACUAUUGCUGCAAUGAUCCUAUUUCCAUGUAUACCUGCAGCCUUGUGUCACAUUGAAAAGAUUCCAAGUCCUACAUAUCCAAGUAUCUGAUUGGCUAAGCACAGGUCACUAACCAACACUGCCAGAAUUCAGGAGAAGAGACAAGUUUCCUCUUCCCAACUUCUAUACCAGGAAAUAGGGCACUGGGUUUUACCAACACAAAACACAAUAGGGUAGGAAAAUCUCCCCACAUAGAAGGAGUAGAAUGGUGGACAGCCAAAAAUAGAAAGGGGAGGGAACAUCCAUCACAUAUUUCAGUUUUGUCCAAAAAAGUCAAACCUGUAGUUCAUUCCUUAGACAACUGUAUCCAAAUCCUAUUCCUUUUUGCUCAAAGGAUCCAGUUUUGAUCUGUAGAGUCUAUCCUUCUCACAUGAUUUGGUUUUCUUUGGCAAAUUCUGUCACAUUAAAUACAUUGUUUGUGGUCACAUC
ensembl:lncRNA novel transcript